rnacentral:rRNA from 1 species
CCUACGGGUGGCAGCAGUGGGGAAUAUUGCACAAUGGGGGAAACCCUGAUGCAGCGACGCCGCGUGAGUGAAGAAGGAUUUCGGUAUGUAAAGCUCUAUCAGCAGGGAAGAGAAUGACGGUGUCUGUGUAGGAAGCCCCAGCUAACUACGUGCCAGCAGCCGCGGUAAUACGUAGGGGGCAAGCGUUAUCCGGAUUUACUGGGUGUAAAGGGAGCGUAGACGGGAGCACAAGUCUGGAGUGAAAUGCCGGGGCUUAACCCCGGAACUGCUUUGGAAACUGUUCAGCUAGAGUGCAGGAGAGGUAAGCGGAAUUCCUAGUGUAGCGGUGAAAUGCGUAGAUAUUAGGAGGAACACCAGUGGCGAAGGCGGUUUACUGGACUGUAACUGACGUUGAGGCUCGAAAGCGUGGGGAGCAAACAGGAUUAGAUACCCGAGUAGUC